rnacentral:rRNA from 1 species
AGUGACCUGCGGAAGGAUCAUUA